rfam:Stegodyphus mimosarum contig74213, whole genome shotgun sequence.
GCAUUCAUGGUGUAACGGUAGCACACUCGGCGCGUAUUCGAGUGGUUCAGGUUCGAAUCCCGGCGAAGGCA